GACAGAGGGGGCAAGCGUUGCUCGGAAUCACUGGGCGUAAAGGGUGUGUAGGCGGGUAUUUAAGUCAGUGGUGAAAUCUCCGGGCUCAACCCGGAAACUGCCAUUGAUACUAUUUAUCUUGAAUCUUGUUGAGGUAGGCGGAAUAUAUCAUGUAGCGGUGAAAUGCUUAGAUAUGAUAUAGAACACCGAUUGCGAAGGCAGCUUACUAAACAGGCAUUGACGCUGAGGCACGAAAGCGUGGGGAUCAAACAGG
rnacentral:rRNA from 1 species